rnacentral:lncRNA from 1 species
GAAACACAUAUACGCUUAAUAAAAAAAUCACAAUUAUCAAAUUAUUGGAUUAAAAAAUUAUCAAAUUACAGACAGUCACCUGAGAUCAUGGUGAGAACAUUACCGAAUAAAUUGUACUAAAAUUGCUACGAAAAAGAAAAAAAAAAAAGGGGUAAUAAUGCUUCUCCAUUAAUACCAACAACAAACCAAUCAAGUCCGAUAACAUCGAUAUUUACAGCACAUGAGUCAUGACUCCCAACUGUUAGUCUGUUACCAGGGACAUGAAUUUCUUCCUCACCCGUUUUCAUAAAAUCUUCAACUUGUUUCUUUCCAACGAGUUGAGUAAAUUGAAGAAAAUCACAAAAUCAAUUAAAAUAAUAUGGAGAAAAAAGGAAAAAGCAGCAGCAAGUAUAACUUGGUAUGGGAGAGAAAGGAAGAAAAUGAGAGAGUUAGAGAUGAGAUUUGACGGCGACGGAGAGUGAGGAAGAAGAUGAGAGGAAAAAUUAUAUCUUAAUUAUGCUUUGGAAAACGCGUUGAAAUAUUGUCUCUUA